UUAUUCCGAAAGUCUAAAGUCCUUCCAAUUUUCACCAAUUCCGACCUACCUUUAUUUAUGGGAUAUUUGAAGGAGAGCUUUGUAACUUUUUCUAUAAAAUUCUCUCUAGCUCGAAGAAUUUGUUUGAUUCUCCCUAUAAAAAUAGUUAAGGAAAAAGGGGCGCUUUUGUUAAAGGACUCACUAUUGUAGAGAAGAUCUCCUUGGCUCACGAGGUGGCUUUAAGUGAUAGGGGAUUUUAACCUAAAGACAACAUAGGAGGGAGGGGGGUCAAAAGAAAGUCAGGAUAUGGCAAAAGCAUCUUUUUGGAUCGAAUGGGCUUUUGUGAUAAAUGGCGGAAUUUGAUA
rnacentral:lncRNA from 1 species